CCAUAACCUAUGCUUCAUAACUUCCUGGCUUGAGGCACUGCCAGUCUUAUUAAUAUAGUCUGUUGCUCUACCCAAUCAGAGAAGUAGAGGUACAAGCAUUUAUUUCUCUUUUCCAGGGUCACUGGAACAAUUUGUAUAGUGGAGAUGCUAAGAGCCAUUCAACCAAACUGUAAACCCUGUAUAUGAUGGAACCAUCUUAAGCCAGGUGGUGCUGCAGCACCCCCAGUUCCAGCACCUAUGUUCCUUCAUGCUCUCAACUUUUCGAAUCUAAUUCCUCUGUAAUUUUUUAAACAAACUCACCUUCAUGGUUUGUAAGAAUUAUUAAGUGUGAAAUAUUCAUACGUCUGGUGCUUGAAUUUCCAUCUUAGGUGUCUCUUAGGUUACCUCAGCAAUUCUGAAAGUCUCUCACUGUGAAGGCACAUAAUAACUUCAGUGCAUUUUAUUUGGUAAGGACUUCGCUGUGCUGGGACCUGCUUGUUGAAUUUGUGUUUGCAGAUGAGAUUACCCAGAGAUAAAAGGAGAAGAGAUAGGGACCAAUGGCAGAGCGCUGUGGAACUCCUGCAGAAAGCUGGGGAGGGAUCCUCCAAAGGACAAGCUGACAGAGUGAUUAGAAAAGUAGGAAGAGAGCUAGGAUAGGAUAGUCAUGAAAGCCGAGGGAGGACAAGAGUUUCAAGAAGAGGAGCCAUGGUCAGCUGUGUCACAGAUACUCCUGAAAUUAGGCUUGGUUUGAAAUGCAGAUCCCUGUAUCCACAUUCAUCAUCAUCCAAACACCUUUUGAAGGAGGAAUAUGGACAGUCAGGUCAUGGAAGUAUCUUAAUUCUGUGAAGUGACCAGUGACUCUUGAAGAAUAGUACCAUAUGGAUAUUACAG